rnacentral:rRNA from 1 species
CAAGGAAUUUUGCGCAAUGGGCGAAAGCCUGACGCAGCAACGCCGCGUGGAGGAUGAAGGCUCUCGGGUUGUAAACUCCUUUUGCACGGGAAGAUAAUGACGGUACCGUGCGAAUAAGUCUCGGCUAACUACGUGCCAGCAGCCGCGGUAAUACGUAGGAGGCGAGCGUUGUCCGGAUUUACUGGGCGUAAAGAACGCGUAGGCGGUUCGUUAAGUUUGGCGUAAAAUCUCCUGGCUCAACUGGGAGGGCGCACCGAAGACUGGCGGACUGGAGGGCAUCAGAGGAAAGCGGAACUCCCGGUGUAGUGGUGAAAUGCGUAGAGAUCGGGAAGAACACCUGUGGCGAAGGCGGCUUUCUGGGGUGUACCUGACGCUGAGGCGUGAAAGCGUGGGGAGCGAACCG